GACGAACGCUGGCGGCGUGCUUAACACAUGCAAGUCGAACGGAAAGGCCCUGCUUUUGUGGGGUGCUCGAGUGGCGAACGGGUGAGAAACACGUGAGUAACCUGCCCUUGACUGUGGGAUAACUUCAGGAAACUGGGGCUAAUACCGGAUAGAAGCUCCUGCUGCAUGGUGGGGGUUGGUAAGUUUCGGCGGUUGGGGAUGGACUCGCGGUUUAUCAGCUUGUUGGUGGGGUAGUGGCUUACCAAGGCAUUGACGGGUAGCCGGCCUGAGAGGGUGACCGGCCACAUUGGGACUGAGGUGCGGCCCAGACUGCUACGGGAGGCAGAAGUGGGGAAUAGUGCACGAUGGGCGGAGGCCUGAUGCAGCGACGCCGGGUGCGGGAUGACGGCCUUCGGGUUGUAAACCGCUUUCGCCUGUGACGAUGCGUGAGUGACGGUAAUGGGUAAAGAAGCACCGGCUAACUACGUG
rnacentral:rRNA from 1 species